AAGACUAUACUUUCAGGGAUCAUUUCUAUAGUUUCUAACUUGGAAAUGUGUUUCGAAAGUGUUAGGCCUCCCAAACCACGAUGAUGAGCUUUGAUGCUCCUUUCUGAGCGUGAAUCGGAUGUAGAGUAAUGAUUCAUUUCAUACGCUUUAUAUCAUUGAUGAACGUUCCUCGUUGUUUCACCGCAGCGAGGAGGAAAGGGGCAUGAGCAGAGUGGU